GACGAACGCUGGCGGCGUGCCUAAAACAUGCAAGUCGAACGAGGGAGCAAUCUCUAGUGGCGAACGGCGGAGUAAGACGUGAGCAACGUGCCCCAAAGUCCGGGACAAACGCAGAAAUGCCAUAAAUACCGGAUGUGGUCCAACCUCGGCAUCGAGGAUGGAUUAAAACGGAUUUUCGCUUUGGGAGCGGCUCACGGCCUAUCAGGUAGUUGGUGGGGUAACGGCCUACCAAGCCGACGACAGGUAACGGGUCUGAGAGGAUGAUCCGUCCGAGUGGGACUGAGACACGGCCCACACACCUACGGGUGGCAGCAGUUGGGAAUCUUGCACAAUGGGGGAAACCCUGAUGCAGCGACGCCGCGUGGAGGAUGAAGGGUCUAGGCCU
rnacentral:rRNA from 1 species